rnacentral:misc_RNA from 1 species
UUUCCGUAGGUGAACCUGCGGAAGGAUCAUUCAUAAUAAAGUGUUUUAUGGCACUUUUUAAAAAUCCAUAUCCACCUUAUGUGCAAUGUUAGAUCUCGUCAAUCUUGGCGAUAUUUUUAUACAUCAACUCAUUCUUUAACUAAUUUGUCUGAAAAAUAUUAUGAAUACUUAAUUCAAAAUACAACUUUCAACAACGGAUCUCUUGGCUCUC